rnacentral:rRNA from 1 species
AACGAACGCUGGCGGCGUGGCUAAGACAUGCAAGUCGAACGGAGUAAUCAAUUGGGUAACUGAGAGAUUAUUUAGUGGCGAAAGGGUGAGGAAUAGAUAGGUAACGUACCUUGAACUUUGGGAUAAUGUCGUGUCGCAAGACACUACCGAAAGGGGCACUAAUACCGAAUGAUGUGGUCUGUUUAAUACGGAUUACCAAAGAUUUAUCGGUGCAAGAGCGGCCUAUCUCCUAUCAGCUUGUUGGUGAGGUAACGGCCCACCAAGGCUAUGACGGGUACCGGGACUGAGAGGUUGACCCGGCACAUCGGAACUGAGACACUGUCCGGACCUCCACGGAGGGCUGCAGUAACGAAUAUUGGGCAAUGAGCGAAAGCUUGACCCAGCGACGCCGCGUGCGGGAGGAAGUCCUCGGGAUGUAAACCGCUGUCAGGGUGAAGAAAGGUCGCAAGACUUGAUCUAACCCAGAGGAAGCAACGGCUAACUCGUGCCAGCAGCCGCGUAAAACGUGCGUG